CAAGUACUCCCUCCGUCCCAAAAUUCUUGUCUUAGAUACAUCCAAAUACAUUUUAGUGUUAGAUACAUCCGUAUCUAGACAAAUAUAAGACAAGAAUUUUGGGACGGAGGGAGUACAAA
rfam:Triticum aestivum genome assembly, contig: Triticum_aestivum_CS42_TGACv1_scaffold_643110_T_7AS-0.262735_5DL-0.147778